GACGUAGGUGGCGACCGUUAUCCGGAAUUAUUGGGCGUAAAGGAUGCGUAGGUGGUGUAGUAAGUUAGCGGUGGUAAAUCGAGGCUCAACCUCGUGGAAGUCGGUAAUACUGCUAUGCUAGAGGAUAGGAGAGGUUAACGGAACUCCCUGUGGAGCGGUGAAAUGCGUAGAUAUAGGGAAGAACACCAAUAAGGCGAAGGCAGUUAACUAUUCUAUUCCUGACAUUGAGGCAUGAAAGCGUGGGGAGCAAAACGG
rnacentral:rRNA from 1 species